GGCGCGGCUCCGACCGCCGACGCCUUAGGAACAGGACUGGUUCCGGCCCGACGGCGUCGGACUCGAGCUGGGCCAGGCCGGGCAGGGAGGCCUUGGUGAACAGCAUUUUGUUUUGCGGCUGAAGACGCCGCUGCACCGACGCCAGGAGGGGCUGGGAUGACGGCGGCCUCGGCCGAGGCCGUUUCCCCGGCUAAGCUUUACAAGGCGCCCUGGAGGCAGCCGCCGUGAAGCGUGGAGGGCAGCCUCUCUCCCUCCGGCCGCUUCUCCUCAGCAGCGUGAGCCCCGCGGGCCACCCCGCUCGCGCCGGGCCUGCAGGAGCCCGAGGCGAAGGGCGGAAGCCGGCGCAGGGUGCAUUCAUGUAUAUCAGCAAAGGAAGUAAUGCUCUCUGCAUGGCAAUACAUAAUGGAAUCUGGAAAUGGACGAAGAAGCCAUAGAAGAAUUUGGAAAGCCUUUAAGAGUUGAAACAUGAAGAUCAUGCGAGUUCAGAGAAUUCUCAACCUACUUGGGUGCCUCUUGGAAGGAGACACAGGUCUUGAAAGAAGCACAUCGUUUAAGUAUCAUGCCUCGCCAAACAGAGCUGCAAUAAACAUCCUUAUAGAUCAGCACCUUUACUUCCAUGGUGCAGAAUCACAGGAAUGAAACUGCUGAGGCAAACGCACAAUAGCCAAGACAUGGAAACAACAUAAAUGUCCAUUGACAGAGGAGUAGAUCCAGAAGAUGUGGUACAUAUACACAAUGGAAUAUUACUCAACCAUUAAAAAGAAUGAAAUACCACCCUUUUUUGCAACAUGGAUGGACCUAGAAACUAUCAUGCUAAGUGAAGUCAGCCAUACAAUGAGACACCAACAUCAAAUGCUUUCACAGACAUGUGGAAUCUGAAAAAAAGGACAGACUGAACUUCUUUGCAGAACAGAUGCUGACUCACAGACAUUGAAAACUUAUGGUCUCCAGAGGAGACAGUUUUGGGGGUGGGGGGAUGUGCCUGGGCUGUGGGAUGGAAAUCCUGUGAAAUCACAUUGUUAUGAUCAUUAUAUAACUACAGAUGUGAUAAAUUCAUUUGAGUAAUAAAAAAAAGGAAAAAGAAAAAAAAAAAA
rnacentral:lncRNA from 1 species